rnacentral:rRNA from 1 species
GACGAACGCUGGCGGCGUGCUUAACACAUGCAAGUCGAACGGAAAGGCCUUUUCGGAGGUACUCGAGUGGCGAACGGGUGAGUAACACGUGGGUGAUCUGCCCUGCCCUCUGGGAUAAGCCUGGGAAACUGGGUCUAAUACCGGAUAGGACCGCACUUUAGAGCGUGUGGUGGAAAGUUUUUUCGGUGUGGGAUGAGCCCGUGGGCUAUCAGCUUGUUGGUGGGGUAAUGGUCUACCAAGGCGGCGACGGGUAGGCGGACUGAGGGGUUGGUCGGCGACAUUGGGACUGAGGUGAGGCACAAGUAGCUAAGGGGGGGAACUGGGGGGAAGCUUGCACGAUGGGCGCAACGCUGGUGAAGCGAGGCCGCGGAGCGGAAGACGGCGUUAGGGGUGAAAAAUACUUUCGCAAGGGACGGAGCGUUUUGUGACGGUACCUGGUGAAGAAGCACCGGCUAACUACGUG